CGGCAUAGUUUAUGGUAAGACUACGACGGUAUCUGAUCGUCUUCGAUCCCCUAACUUUCGUUCACUGAUUAAUGAAAACAUCCUUGGCGAAUGCUUUCGCAGUAGUUCGUCUUCAAUAAAUCCAAGAAUUUCACCUCUGACAAUUGAAUACGGACGCCCCCGACUAUCCCUAUUAAUCAUUACAGCGGUCCUAGAAACCAACAAAAUAGAACCUCUGUCCUAUUCUAUUAUUCCAUGCUAAUGUAUUCGAGCAAAUGCCUGCUUUGAACACUCUAAUUUUUUCAAGGUAAAAGUCCUGGUUCCCCGCGACGCCCAGUAAAGGGCAUCGGGCUCCCCAGAAGGAAAGGUCCGGCCGAAUCCGUGCGCUCGAUUAGGAGGACAGAUCGGCCAGACCCAAGGUUCAACUACGAGCUUUUUAACGGCAACAACUUUAAUAUACGCUAUUGGAGCUGGAAUUACCGCGGCUGCUGGCCAAUUGGUUGGGUGCCAGCACGAUCUCUACCCCCGUCGGCGACUAGAGAGAGACCGUUCGGCACCCUUCACCCCCGGGAAUCGAUAAUAUUUUGUCCCAGAGGCCCCUGGAGCUUCCCGUUCGCAGCGGUACUACAUGACUUCACCAGGGCCGGACUUUCGUCCGGGGAUCGGCACGUUCCUUGAGCUGACCGUGGCAGACGUGGCAGUUGAGCCCCACGUCGUUCACNNNNNNNNNNNNNNNNNNNNNNNNNNNNNNNNNNNNNNNNNNNNNNNNNNCUACCGCCCGGACGAUCAACAGUCGUCCCGUGGCACCGUGGGUAACGCCCACGGGUAAGGUAACAACGGUACCGGUUUGGGUGAUGCGCAGCCAAGCUCCUGUCGACGACGGAGAAGGUUCAGAGACUAGACGGGGGUCGGUCUCACUAAACGGGGCUUAAGGUAUAGUCCGCUUACCUACAUCUCGCACUGUGCGACCAUUCGUAAAUGGGAGCCUGCGGCUUAAUUUGACUCAACACGGGGAAACUCACCAGGUCCAGACAUGCUUAGGAUUGACAGAUUGAUAGCUCUUUCUUGAUUGUAUGGGUGGUGGUGCAUGGCCGUUUUUAGUUGGUGGAGUGAUUUGUCUGCUUAAUUGCGUUAACGAACGAGACCUUGACCUGCUAAAUAGUCCCACUCACUUUGGUGGGUGGCCGACUUCUUAGAGGGACUUUUGGCUCAAGCCAAUGGAAGUACGAGGCAAAAACAGGUCUGUGAUGCCCUUAGAUGUUCUGGGCCGCACGCGCGCUACACUGACAGAGCCAGCGAGUACACCACCUUGGCCGAAAGGUCUGGGUAAUCUUGUUAAACUCUGUCGUGCUGGGGAUAGAGCAUUGCAAUUAUUGCUCUUCAACGAGGAAUGCCUAGUAAGCGCAAGUCAUCAGCUUGCGUUGAUUACGUCCCUGCCCUUUGUACACACCGCCCGUCGCUACUACCGAUUGAAUGGCUCAGUGAGGCCUUGGGAUUGGCCAGGGGAGGUGGGCGACCACCACCCCAGGCCGAAAACUUGGUCAAACUUGGUCAUUUAGAGGAAGUAAAAGUCGUAACAAGGUUUUCGCAGACGCCUAGUCUCGAGAUAAGUCCUGAUGCAUCCUUCUGCAGUGAACACUUAUCGGAAGCCUUUAACAGCUGCCGGAAACGGUGAGGCUGCCACGACUGUAAAUAAGGGCAGCCCAAGAGCUAGUGGAACGCCGGUCCCUUGCCGGUCUUUCGCGACACUGUCAAAUUGCGGGAAUCCCCUUAGAGCUUGCUGCUACCAAGCGUCGUCCCGAAACGGGCGACGUGGCCAGGGUAACUCCCUCGGGUACGGUCACAACGCGCAAGAUUGGGUAACCUGCAGCCAAGUCCUACCGGCCUUCCAGGCCCAUGGAUGCUGUUCACAGACUAAAUGGUAGUGGGUGACGCCCCCCUCGGUAGAAGAGGGGUAGGAGUCGCUUAAGAUAUAGUCGGGCCCCCGGGGAGACUCGGGGGAAAAGUUUCACGAAGAAUGGCCGUCGGUCCUUUUCGACGUGCCUAACAAUAACCGUUCCGUAGGUGAACCUGCGGAAGGAUCAUUA
rnacentral:rRNA from 1 species